rnacentral:rRNA from 1 species
UACAGAGGGUGCAAGCGUUAAUCGGAAUGACUGGGCGUAAAGGGUGCGUAGGUGGUUGUAUAAGUUGGUUGUGAAAUCCCCGGGCUUAACCUGGGAACUGCAGCCAAAACUGUACGACUUGAGUAGAGUAGAGGAAAGUAGAAUUUCCGGUGUAGCGGUGAAAUGCGUAGAUAUCGGAAGGAAUACCAGUGGCGAAGGCGGCUUUCUGGACUCAUACUGACACUGAGGCACGAAAGCGUGGGGAGCAAACAGG